GAUGAACGCUGGCGGCGUGCCUAAUACAUGCAAGUCGAGCGAACAGACGAGGAGCUUGCUCCUCUGACGUUAGCGGCGGACGUGUGAGUAACACGUGGAUAAUCUACCUAUAAGACUGGGAUAACUUCGGGAAACCGGAGCUAAUACCGGAUAAUAUAUUGAACCGCAUGGUUCAAUAGUGAAUGACGGUUUUGCUGUCACGUAUAGAUGGAUCCGCGCCGCAUUAGCUAGUUGGUAAGGUAACGGCUUACCAAGGCAACGAUGCGUAGCCGACCUGAGAGGGGGAUCGGCCACACUGGAACUGAGACACGGUCCAGACUCCUACGGGAGGCAGCAGUAGGGAAUCUUCCGCAAUGGGCGAAAGCCUGACGGAGCAACGCCGCGUGAGUGAUGAAGGUCUUCGGAUCGUAAAACUCUGUUAUUAGGGAAGAACAAAUGUGUAAGUAACUAUGCACGUCUUGACGGUACCUAAUCAGAAAGCCACGGCUAACUACGUG
rnacentral:rRNA from 1 species